rnacentral:rRNA from 1 species
UCGGGAAUUUUGGGCAAUGGGGGAAACCCUGACCCAGCAACGCCGCGUGAAGGAUGAAGUAUUUCGGUAUGUAAACUUCGAAAGAAUAGGAAGAAUAAAUGACGGUACUAUUUAUAAGGUCCGGCUAACUACGUGCCAGCAGCCGCGGUAAUACGUAGGGACCAAGCGUUGUUCGGAUUUACUGGGCGUAAAGGGCGCGUAGGCGGCAUGACAAGUCACUUGUGAAAUCUCUGGGCUUAACCCAGAACGGCCAAGUGAUACUGUCGCGCUAGAGUGCAGAAGGGGCAAUCGGAAUUCUUGGUGUAGCGGUGAAAUGCGUAGAUAUCAAGAGGAACACCUGAGGUGAAGACGGGUUGCUGGGCUGACACUGACGCUGAGGCGCGAAAGCCAGGGGAGCAAACGGGAUUAGAUACCCUUGUAGUCCCUGAG